UGAUCCGCGGCGGGAGAGUCCCGCACCCGCGGGCGCCGAAGGAGCAAGUCCUCCCCGGGAAUCUCUCAGGCACCUGUACCGCCGCGGCGAG
rnacentral:ncRNA from 2 species